rnacentral:rRNA from 1 species
AGUCGAGCGAACAGAUAAGGAGCUUGCUCCUUUGACGUUAGCGGCGGACGGGUGAGUAACACGUGGAUAACCUACCUAUAAGACUGGGAUAACUUCGGGAAACCGGAGCUAAUACCGGAUAAGAUUUUGAACCGCAUGGUUCAAUAGUGAAAGACGGCCUUGCUGUCACUUAUAGAUGGAUCCGCGCCGUAUUAGCUAGUUGGUAAGGUAACGGCUUACCAAGGCAACGAUACGUAGCCGACCUGAGAGGGUGAUCGGCCACACUGGAACUGAGACACGGUCCAGACUCCUACGGGAGGCAGCAGUAGGGAAUCUUCCGCAAUGGGCGAAAGCCUGACGGAGCAACGCCGCGUGAGUGAUGAAGGUCUUCGGAUCGUAAA